AGGAGCUCUGGGAGUUCAAAUGAAACAGAAAGUGGAAGUAGCAGUUCUGAUGAUGGAAAAGCAAAUUGACGUGUUGCAAAGGCCAAAAAUAGACCUCCAAUGAGGAAAAGUUUACCAGAUCUGUCACGAAAGGAACCUGAAUCAAAGGUGAAAAUUAAGGAUCAAAAUUCAAAGAAAACAACCUUAGAAGAGCAAGAACUUGUUAAAAAUGGGGUUGUGAAGGACAAGGAGAAGGAAAAAGAGCUUCAAUUACUUACUGCAUAACCUACAUUCUGAGUUGCAUCACCAAGCAUUCACCUCAGUACAGAAUUCUAAUGGUGUGGCGUAUAUUGGGAGGGAUUGCCACCUCUCUCCUCUUUUCAGCCUUUGAAUCAUGGCUUGUUGCUGAACACAACAAGAGAGGUUUUGAGCAACAAUGGCUAUCAAUUACAUUCUCUAAGGCAAUAUUUCUUGGGAAUGGACUGGUUGCCAUUUUAGCUGGUUUAUUUGGAAAUCUUUUAGUUGGUUCAUUGGCCAUGGGACCUGUUGCUCCAUUUGAUGCAGCUUCAAUCUUUCUUGCCAUUGGAAUGGCCAUCAUCAUAUCAUCAUGGACUAAAAAUUAUGGUGACUCAUCAGAAAGCAAAGAUCUAAUGACCCAA